rnacentral:lncRNA from 1 species
UAAGGGAGCUACUAUUUGAUUUUUAUGGGAGGGAUAGGAUGAAAUUUGAAAAAAAUAGGCAGGACAGGAGUUUUGAGUAAAAAAAAAAAGGCAGGAUGUGACACUUGCAAAAAAAAAGUCAGGACGACAAUUUAGGUAAAAAAAAGUCAGGAUAAACUAAAAAAAAAAAAGGCAGGACCGAUUAGAGUGAAAAAUAAAAAGGCAGGACAGAGAUUACAGCUAAAAAAAAUGCAGGAUAAAACUUUUCAUCCUAGCCCCCCAAAAAUAUCAAAUGGUAGCUCCCUAAUCAGCGAUCCACGAAUUUACGUAUACCACGAAACGUCUUUUUUUCUCUAUCCACGAAAAUUGAUACCCACGAAAGUAAAUGAAUCCACAGUAUCCUAUUACUUAUAAUAAGAGAGAAUUCAACAUUACAAAAAAUUUGAACUUUUUUUUCAAGUGGUCACUGAACCAUGAAAAUGAGGUCAAGGACAUUGGACAUGUGACUGACGGAAACUUCAUAACAUGAAGCAUCUAUAUACAAAGUAUGAAGUAUCCAGGUCUUCUACCUUCUAAAAUAUAAAGCUUUUAAGAAGUGAGCUAACACCG